NAUACUCUCUACCACUAAAGUAUCCGCCCGAGAACUACGAGCACAAACGCUUAAAACUCUAAGGACUUGGCGGUGCCCCAGAUCCACCUAGAGGAGCCUGUUCUGUAAUCGAUAACCCACGAUACACCCAACCUCCCCUUGCCUAAAACAGCUUAUAUACCGCCGUCGCCAGCCCACCUCCCCUGAGAGCCCAACAGUGGACAUAAUAGCCCCACCCGCUAGCAAGACAGGUCAAGGUAUAGCCUAUGGGGUGGAAGAAAUGGGCUACAUUUUCUAAGAUAGACAACUUUCACGGAAAGGGACAUGAAAUCGUCCCCAGAAGGCGGAUUUAGCAGUAAAGAGGGAUAAUAGAGCCCUCUUUAAACCGGCCCUGAGG
rnacentral:rRNA from 1 species